rnacentral:rRNA from 1 species
AGAGUUUGAUCAUGGCUCAGGACGAACGCUGGCGGCGUGCUUAACACAUGCAAGUCGAACGGGAUCCAUACGUUGGAGUCUUCGGACGAAGAUGUAUGGUGAGAGUGGCGGACGGGCGAGUAACGCGUGAGCAACCUGCCCUAUGCAGGGGGAUAACACCGGGAAACUGGUGCUAAUACCGCAUAAGACCACACUGGCACAUGUCAGAGUGGUAAAAGCUCCGGCGGCAUAGGAUGGGCUCGCGUCCAAUUAGCUUGUUGGUAGGGUAACGGCCUACCAAGGCGACGAUUGGUAGCCGAACUGAGAGGUUGGUCGGCCGCAUUGGGACUGAGACACGGCCCAGACUCCUACGGGAGGCAGCAGUGGAGAAUAUUGCGCAAUGGGGGAAACCCUGACGCAGCGACGCCGCGUGAAGGAAGAAGGCCUUCGGGUUGUAAACUUCUUUGGUCGGGGACGAAGAUGACGGUACCCGAAUAACAAGCCACGGCUAACUACGUGCCAGCAGCCGCGGUAAUACGUAGGUGGCGAGCGUUGUCCGGAAUUACUGGGUGUAAAGGGCGUGUAGGCGGGGUGCCAAGUUAGGUGUGAAAUUCCGAGGCUUAACUUCGGGUGUGCAUCUGAAACUGGUGCUCUUGAGUGUCGGAGAGGAAAGUGGAAUUCCCAGUGUAGCGGUGAAAUGCGUAGAGAUUGGGAGGAACACCAGUGGCGAAGGCGGCUUUCUGGACGACAACUGACGCUGAGGCGCGAAAGCGUGGGGAGCAAACAGGAUUAGAUACCCUGGUAGUCCACGCCGUAAACGAUGGAUACUAGGUGUAGGAGGUAUCGACCCCUUCUGUGCCGGAGUUAACACAAUAAGUAUCCCACCUGGGGAGUACGGCCGCAAGGCUGAAACUCAAAUGAAUUGACGG